AGUGAACGCUGGCGGUAGGCCUAACACAUGCAAGUCGAACGGCAGCACAGUAAGAGCUUGCUCUUACGGGUGGCGAGUGGCGGACGGGUGAGGAAUACAUCGGAAUCUACUUUUUCGUGGGGGAUAACGUAGGGAAACUUACGCUAAUACCGCAUACGACCUACGGGUGAAAGCAGGGGAUCUUCGGACCUUGCGCGAUUGAAUGAGCCGAUGUCGGAUUAGCUAGUUGGCGGGGUAAAGGCCCACCAAGGCGACGAUCCGUAGCUGGUCUGAGAGGAUGAUCAGCCACACUGGAACUGAGACGCGGUCCAGACUCCUACGGGAGGCAGCAGUGGGGAAUAUUGGACAGUGGGCGCAAGCCUGAUCCAGCCAUACCGCGUGGGUGAAGAAGGCCUUCGGGUUGUAAAGCCCUUUUGUUGGGAAAGAAAAGCAGCAGGUUAAUACCCCGCUGUUCUGACGGUACCCAAAGAAUAAGCACCGGCUAACUUCGU
rnacentral:rRNA from 1 species